rnacentral:lncRNA from 1 species
GCCCAGAGCCCCGGAGGGAAAGCAGUGUGAGAUCAGAGUGCAGGACUGUGUCUUUGGGAAGCUGAACUGACCAGGCGGAAGGGGCAGCAGUGGCACCCGGGGAAGGAGGGCUCGGGUUAACUGGCAGAGCUGUCUGUGUGAACGGCUGCAGGACAUCCAAAUCACAGCACUGUUUCACACAUCCCUGUCUCGAGUCACCGAGGAUGGGUUUCCGAGCCUGCAGCAGCCAGCAGUGAGGCACAGAGGAUUCCACUGGAUUAUCCAAAGCAUCUGACCCGCAAAUGAGGAGUGAGGAGAACACUUUUAAAAAACAACUCCUGAACGGUUCACAGAGCCAACUCGACAUUGAACAGAGACGCAAACAGCCAGCCACCUCUGAGGCAAAAGGUCAAUUUCUUGUGCUUGUCUUGGUCUUCGGAAUCUAAGUUCUUGGUCUGAGUGUGGCCCCAGUUUGCUCAGCCCGUGGGAUGGGUGUGGCAUAGACGGCAGCGACACUGUGGUCUGAACCCAGAGAGGGAGUGAAGCUGGAGCAGCUAGGGCAGGGGCGUGGGAGAAGAGAGCAGGCUGCGUCCUCCAAAAACACAGACUUUUUCAAUUUUGAUUUUAUUUUUGAUUGACACGUAAUUACUAUACAUAUUUAUGGGGUAGAGUGCAAUGAUUCAACACAUGUGUACCAAGGCAACAAGCACUCCCGCCUCCCUGUCAUGUUUCUGUUCGGAGCCUUGAACACCUCCCUUCCAAUUUGAUCAAGUUGGGGCAGCUGGGCUUUGCAGUUGAAGCAGCAGAAGCUGAGUGAGAGAAGCAAAUUUCCAUCCUGGAUGAACGUGAGCUGCCUGCCUUGUGACUUCCUGAACUUUGUGAUUCUCCUGAUUGAGUCCCGGGCCCCUCCCACGUCCCUCUCUCUCCCCAGCCCUCACACACAGCUGCAAGGUAUGUCUGAGCACCUAUAACGUGCCGAGUGUUUUCACUGUCCACAGCGAUGAUGAACCUUGUGCUCUGCAGUACCCUACAGAGGUACAGUUGUGUGCUACACGUGUGCACUGUGUGGAAGUCUUGGGAGCCUCGAGAGACAGUGCUUCGGGGCCACCGGAAGAGUGUGACUUCCAUGGGAAAUCGAGUAUGGCAACCAUGCACAUGCUGCUGCUGACAGGGAACUGGGAGGGAUGGUGGAGAAGCAGUUUCCCUCCUAGUUCUUUGCCACCUUCUCCAGUAUAAAUCUCUGCAACUGGGGGUGGGAGUGGGGAAAGGAAUUCACAAUGCAG